AUGGCUCGAGGGCCUUUGGACUUAUGGAAUGAGUGGGGAACCCGGAUCCUGGUUCUCUUGAGCCUCGGCUUCCAGGUCAUCCUCCAUCUCUUCGCCAAGGUGCGUCGUCGCAAAGCCAGCUCAGCUAUGCAGAGGUUCUUCCUCUGGCUGGCGUACCAGCUGUCCGACAUGACGGCGACGUACGCUGCCGGGCAGCUCUUCUUCAGCAGCACGCCGCAAGAGCACCACCUAGUCGCCUUCUGGGCUCCGUUCCUCCUGCUGCACCUUGGCGGCCCGGACAACAUUACCGCCUAUGCCCUCGAGGAUAGCAAGCUCUGGAAACGCCACUUUCUGAGCCUUUUGGUGCAGGUCCUGGGAGCUGGACAUGUCUUCUACAAGCAUAUCAUCGGCAGUGGGAUCUUGCUCAUGCUGGCUGCCAUCUUGAUAUUCGGUCUCGGCGUUGCCAAGUAUGGGGAGAGGACAUGUGCGCUCUGGUUCGCCAACUUCAGCAGGCUCCGGAGCUCUCUCAAGGUGUUACCACGUGACAAGCAUCACCAAAAAUUUUACACCGAGCAUCAACACGGCUACGACAACUCCAACGCUGAACUCCUGCAGCUUGCUCACUCCCUGUUUCAUAUCUGCAAGCGUGGGAUAGUUGAUUCCGUGAUGAUGGUGGAUCCAGAUAGCCUGAGUGAGCUGGAUUCUUUGGACAACACAACAAUCCAGGGCCUCAUGAAAGACCGUGAGCGCAUGUGGACGGUGAUGGAGAUGGAGCUCUCCCUUAUGUACGACAUCCUCUACACGAAGGCAAGUGUGAUCCACUCUUGGUUUGGCUACUGCAUCCGUGCCGUGUCGCCUCUUGCCAUUACCGCCUCUCUUGUGCUGUUCCAGUUGAGCGGCAAAGAUGGUGACAGCCAAGCCGAUGUUGUCGUCACAUACACCUUGUUGGUUGUUGCCUUGGUCCUGGAGACAAAAUCCCUUGUAGGUGCACUUGGAUCAAGCUGGGUGUUUGCCUUCUUGUGUGCUACACGAUGUAAUUGGCUUCGGCAUGCAGCUCUGUGCAGUGGAAGGUGGCACUGGCUUCGUCAGAGACUUGGAUCUCUCCGCCGGUCUUGGCCUGGAAAGGCGAUAAUUACACGGAACUCAAGGAGAUGGUCAGGCACCAUGGGACAGCACAACAUGUUGCAGUUUCGCACCGGAGAGAUGGAUUCGACCGGUCACCAGCUCGGCAGUCUUUUCAAGAUGGUGGGGCUCAGCGAGUCGUUUGAGAGAAGGUACUACUCAUGGACUGUUGAGGUCCCAGAGAAGGUCAAGGAGCGUGCACAGAAGGUGGACGACAUAGUCUCAACGGGUGAUAUAAACACAAUGGGCAUGCUCAGGUAUAAUUGGGGUAAAAUGGCGCUGAGUGAGAAGAAGUACCCUGGGCUGUACAUGGAGUUGGAGGACUGGCAUGGAGUUGACUUCCACGAGAGCAUCAUCAGCUGGCACAUCGCCACCGACUUGAUCCUCGCCGCAGGGCAGCCAAGCGGCCAUGAUGCAGCUGACGGCCGUGUGGAGGCUGUCAGGGCACUGUCCAACUACAUGAUGUUCCUCCUGGUGGAUCGCCCCGACAUGCUACCAGGCCUUCCUCAGAACUGGCUGUACAAGAAAACCUGCACCAAUCUGGACGACUUGUGUAAAGAACGCCUAGUUGGUUCUCGAGGCAACAUCUUCACCGCGCUCAAGAGAUUGUUCGGACCACGCCAUCACCGCCGCUGCUUAAAUCCUUCUAAGCUCGAGAAGGAGCUUGCCGGGAUCAUACUGGAGCUGCCACACGAGGAGAAUUUCAACUACUACGAAACUCCUCGGCUCAUGUACGCACGCAAGAUUGCUCGGAUACUGCGCCGUAGGGACGAAGAUGCAGUGGUUGUGCUGCUAGACGUGUGGACCGACUUCAUGGCCUAUGCAGCCAACCGGUGCAGCAGGGAGGCGCACGCCAGGAACCUGAACAGCGGCGUGACAUCGCGUUUCAGUGAAUGCAGUGGACAUGGAUUAACUGGGUCUGUUUGCUUGAAAAGAUGA
rnacentral:rRNA from 1 species